UUCCCUGUUUAUUUUGGACUCAGAAAGAAGACAGUAGUGCAGCAGUCAAUCAGCGAUGAAGAGGCAGGCUAUAUUAAAUGUCCAAUCAGGCGAGCUGUGGCAGGAGGUCUCUUGGGUCUCUUCCGGUGUGUAGACAUUGUUUACCUGUUUGGAAUACAAAACUGAGAGCAGAAUGCUUGCUGGAUUUCAUUUACUGGUUUCGAAGUCCUGUGGCCUGAUUAGCAAAGAAUCUGGGAGACCUUCUAGCAACAGAAUGGAGGUGGUGACCUUUGAGGAUGUGGUUGUGAACUUCAGCAAUGAGGAGUGGACUUUGCUGAGUCCAUCCCAAAAGAACCUCUACAGAGAUGUGAUGGGCGAAACCUUUAGGAACAUGACUGCAAUUGGAGGACUUGGGAAUAUCCAGGAAGCUGAAAAAGAAUGCAAAAUUUACUGGAGAUACUUAAGAAAUGAAAAGCUAGGGAAAUCCUAUGGACAUACAUCUUGGAUUCAGUGUAAAGAAGUAUUCCCUUGUACUGCAGAAGGUAAUGUGAAUGUGAAAGAAGCAGAAACACACCACAAUGUUCAGGUCCAUGAAAAAUAUUGCAGUGGAGAGAAACCCUAUGUAUGUCAGCAAUGUGGAAAAGGGUUCACCAAAUCUGGACAUUGUAAGCAACAUGAAAGAAUUCACACUGGAGAGAAACCAUAUGUAUGUAAGAAAUGUGGGAAAUGUUUUACCCGACAUGGACAUUGUAAGCAACAUGAAAGAAUUCACACUGGAGAGAAAACAUAUGUAUGUAAGCAAUGUAGGAAAGCUUUUACCCGACAUGGACACUGUAAGUGACAUGAAAGUUCACACUCAAGAUAAAACCAGUGUGUAUAAGCAUCAUGAAAAUUUUUUGAGCGCAAGUACAUAUUGCAUAAUGCAUGAAAAACUUCAGACUGGGCAGAAAACUUAUAUAUGUAAGGAAUGUUGGGAAAGGUUUCAGCAGAAAUGCUCAUUGUCCAAUACAUGAAAAAAUUUACACUGUUGAGAAACCCUGUUUAUGUGAAGAAUGUGGGAAAACUUUCACCACAUAUGGAUUUUGUAAAAUACAUCAGUGAUUCCACAAUGGUGAGAAACCCUAUGUAUAUAGCAAUGUGGAAAAGCUUUUACCACAUACAGUCAUUGCAAAACACAUGAAACAAUUCACACUGGGAUGAACCACUGGCUAUGUAAGCAAGUGGAGACAUUUUCAGCAGCCAGAUUUUAAGUGAAAUAUGUGAAGAAACUCACACAAGAGAUAAAUCCUAUGUGUUAGGGGAAUACUUUCAGCACACAUGAUCAUUGUUACAUAUCUGAAAGAGCUCACUGGAUCCUAUGUGUAUUAACAGUGUGAGAAAUACAGCAAUCCAUGUUUGUUGUUAAAUACAUAGAAAAAGCAGCACUCUUCAGACAGUUUAGAUCUAAGUUUACUUUAAACAUUCCAAGUAGACCUGAAGAAAUAAUCAAUACAAAAGUUUGAUAUCAAUAUUUCUUCACAAAUGUUCCAGAAAUGACAAAUCUGAAGUGGAGCUCUGCUCAAGUACAUAUUUUGUAUGGUUUUCACUUAAUCACUUAUACCUCUUUAGAUUUUUUAAAGUGUCUUUAUGCUUCAACAUGGCAUCUUGUAAUUAAACACGGUAAACUGAAAUGGGCUUUUCACUUUCAAGUAUGGAUAGUGUCUAUGUACUUAAUAUUUUGUCUUUAAACCUUAAUUUUUAUAUUUUUGGUGAAUUAUUAUUAGUUAAAGAAACCAAAAAGUGUAGAAAUAAUACAGAAGUUCUGAAAAAUAAACAAUAAGAAAUCACUAGUUGAUUAGUUACAUAUUGUCAUCUUAGAAGUAAUUGUUCAAGUUACAAAAUUAAAACAUACAAAGUGAUAGACAAAUAACACUGAACGGUUCACCUCAGUGAUCCAACAAAAACUUAUUAAUAUGCUUAUCUGUUCUACAAACUUGUUUUUUAUCUUAAAGACAGUAAGAUUAAACACGACAAAACAGAACAGUUCAUAAGGAAACAAGGAAACACAGGUUUCAAAGCAUGUCCACUGAGAUUUUCAUUUUCUAUCUUACUGUCUCUAGUUUUCUUCAGAAUAGUUGUUCCUAUUUUCACAUGCAUUGAAUAUAUACUGAACAUUAUAGAACUAAUCAAAUAAUUACAGGAUGAUGCAGGCUUUUUUGAUCUUCAAGACUGAUUUUGGGGAAGUUGAUAAUGAUUACCAUAAUGUGUGUCAUUCUCUUCGUAGUAGACGUCUUUAUUUUUAUUUAUGCAAAACUCAACAUAAGAGACUAAACUAAUAUCACUCUGAACAGUGAAUAAUAGUAUCCUGAGAAGGAGAAAGGUGAGUAAUUGCCUACAUAAAGAAGGCAGAGCACGUUGUUAAAAGUGUAUCAGGAUUUAAAUGCUACAAUAGUUCUGUUGCUCUGUUUAGUUUGAUUAUAUUUUGUUCUGGUCUGUCUACUCAUUUUAGAUUUGAGGGCACAGAGAGAUGAACCAAAAUGGCAGGUUUCACCAUGAUAGAAAUUGUCCUUAAUUUCUAAUAACUAAAACUGAAACCCUGUAUUACUUACAUUGUCUUACUAUGACUGAUCUUAUUUGAAGCUGGUUUGUUUGAAUGUUAUUUGGCCUUGACUGAUUUUAUUCACAUUUGGUAUGCUUGCUGGUAUCAAGUCCAAGAGUAGAGGCAACUACUCUGAAGAUGAUAAGAUGUGAAAGAUAUAUAUUGGGGGGCUGGGGAUUUAGCUCCGUGGCUUAAGCCCCUGCCAGGCAAGUGUGAGGUCAUCAGUUUGAUCCCCAGUACCAAAAAAUAAAUAAAUAAAAGAUAUAAAUUCCAGGUUUAAUUUUUUUAUUUAAGGAGAAAAAAAGAACAUAAAAGAACAAAGCAGUAAAAGGGUACAAAUAAUACAGAAUUUAAAGAAAAAAAUACAGUAAGAAAUCACUAGUUAAUAGGUUACAUAUUGUCUUCUUAGAAACAGUUGUCCAAAUUAUAAAAUUAAAGCAUAUAAAGUGAACAUUCCUACAGCGAGAUUGCAGACAGUUCUGUUCAAUGAUCCAACAAAAGCUCAGUAAUAUAGUUUUCCUUCCUACACACUCAAAUAGGCGUUUACAUCCCUUAGACCACCUUCGUUUCCUCUCUUCUUCACAAUAACAAAUACACUUUUGGGUUUUUUUUUACUCCCAUAGUUCUUAUUACUUUUUUUUGAAGGGAAUAAAAUCUCAAGUGAGUUUAUAAAACAGAGUUGGUUAGAACAUAAGGAUGGGCAUAGUACUUGAUGCAAAAAUAGAAUACCAGGUGAUCAAAAAUGGUUACCAUUGUACCUCUUGCUAUUUUUAGAAAGAGUUGCUAUAUCAUCAGGUAUAAUAGAAUUGAUCAAAACAGUACAGAACAAGACCAAUAAAAUCUACACUGGAGACCUUACAGAAUUUCAAAAGAAGAUAACAGUCAAACCAUAAUGGGCAACAUAGUAAAUCUUAUUGCCUACAAAGUGGUUGCCUAUACCCUCAAACUUGAUACUAUUAAAACAAAAUAGAAUAUAGUAAAAUCAGGCAGAACAAGAUGGGGAGAGCAAUACUGGGGUUAAAAUCAGGUUAAUAGGAAAACAAAAAAAGUUACUAUAAUAUAUCCUGCUAUUUUUUAAUUUAGUUUUCCUUUAAUUGAAAAAUAAUAAGAAAAAAAUAGAAUAAUUUUUAAAAGGUUGGAGAUCUAGAUAAAAGAGACAUUGUAAUAGAACAACACAGGUCAGAACUGAACAAUUAAAGCAUCAUUUUGUUUCACCACAAGGUAAUCUAAUAUAAUAGUAGUCAUCAUAGUGCCUCUUUCCUUGAAUUAUUUGAGUAUAACUUCGUAUACUAUAGAAUCAAUCUCAUCAAGACAGUGUGAAGCCAUUCAAGAGAAUGAAAGAAUUACAGUAUUUAGAACCAGUUAACAGAAAAUGAAGAACAAUUUCUAUAUUAUCUCUUUGCCUGUAAAAAAUUUUAUUUAUAUAUCACAGUAAAAUAUAUUAAGAUACAACAUGUUAAAACCAGUGGAAACACGUACAACAACUUGAUGGGAGCUCCAAAGAAGAUGAUAUUAAAUCAGCACUAGCUUUUAUGAUGUGUUAUUUUCUUCAGAAUAUCUAUUUGUACUAUCACCGAUACUAAAAUUGAAAAACCCAGGGUAAAACCACUGCACUUAAUGAGUGAAAACAUUAUAUGGAUUCAAACCAAUAUGAUUGGGUAUCACAAUUACCACAUACUUCUAUGAAUUAUCAUUUCUUAUACUAGGGAAUAUAUUUGGUAUUUAUACAUGUGAGUUUGAUUUAUUUCACUUUUGAGUAUGGUCUCAGUCUGUGUCCAUUUAUUUAUAUGUCAAUGGGAUCAUUCUUUAUAGCUGAGUAGUACUCCAUUGUAUAAAAACAGCAUAAUUUUUUUUAUCCAUUCUUCAGUUGAUGGACACUUAGAUUGUUUCCAAGAUCUGGCUAUUACAAACUCUGCUGCUAUUAAUAUGGGUGCACAUAUAUCACUGUGGAAUGAUGGUUUCAGUUCUGUGAAUAUGCCUAGAAAUAGAAUAGCUGGGUCAAAAGGUGCUUCCAGUCCCAGCUUUCUGAGAAAUCUCCAGACUGACCUCCACAAUUGUUGUACCAGUCUAUACUCCCACCAACAGUGCAGGAGAGUUCCUUUGUCCCAACAGCAUCUCCAACAUUUGUUGUUGGUGGUUUUCUUGAUCUUGGCCAUUCUUUCAGGAGUGAGACAAAAUCUCAGUGUGGUUUUAAUUUGUAUUUCUCUAAUGACCAUUGAUGGUAAACAUUUUUUCAUGUAUUUAUUUUUCAUUUGUAUUUCUUCAUCUCAAAAUUGUUUAUUCAUCUCAGAUGCUCAUUUUUGGAUUGGAUCUUUGAAUUUUGGUGGUCUCAUUUUUAAAAAUUCUUUAUAUGUUUUAGACAGAAGUCCUCUGUCUGAGGGGCAGUUCACUAAGAUUUUUCCCAGCUUGUGGGUUUUCUUUUCACUAUACUGGAGAUUUAUUUUGAUGUGCAGAAACUUUUUAAUAAGAGGUGAUCCCAAUUAUUGAUUCUGGAAAGCAUUUCCCAUGUGGUUUGAGUCCUGUACAUCAAUUCUCUACCUACUCCUAUGUCUUCAAGGUUUUUACCCAAUUUGUCUUCCAAUAGAUUUAGUGUUUCUGUUUUAAUAUUUAGAUCUUUGAUCCAUUUAGAUUUUAUUUUAGUACAUGGUGAUAGGCAUGGGUCUAGUUUUUGUUUUAGGCAUAUGGAGAGCCAGUUUCUCACCACCAUUUAUUAAAGAGAAUGUCAUUCUUCCAGUGAAUAUAUUUGGCCCCUUUAUCAAAGAUAAGGUAGUUGGGUGUGUUUGUAGUGGUGAUUGUAUCUUCUCAUCUAUUCCACUGAUCUUCAGCUCUGUUUUGGUUCCAGUACCAUGUUGAUUUUACUACAGUUGCUUUGUAUUAUAACUUCAAGUCAGGGAUUGUGGUACCUCCUGCCUUGCUUUUGCUGCCUCUAACUGUCGUUGCUAUUCUAGGUUUCUUCUGACUGCAGAUGAAUUUUAGGGGUGAUUUCUCAAGUUCUAUGAGGUAUGUUGAUGCUAUUUUUUAUCAGGA